CAAGACUUCCCGAGCAGGACAUGUAACCCACAAAAUUUAGCGAGUAUCCAGGCUUUGCUUCUUGUGAGAUUUAACGAAGAUGAUGGUCUUAAAAUGGUUUUACCACAAGAAAGCUUCCCCUACAAGGAUUAUACCUGUUGUCCUCCCCCCCGAGGCCUCACACUGCCAGUCUGAGGAGUAAAAUGAUAGAUCCUGAGGGUUUACCACAGAUCAUGGGGAGACAAGACAGACCUGUCCUUUUGAGAAUGAACUCAUUAUCACGUGCUCACCUGAUGAAGGGUCUUGAGAUGGCGAGGACGGUCCGGAUGAACCACGUGGGCAUCUCUUCAGCCAGCUGAUGCCGGGCAUCUUCCUGCGAGGAGUUGCUCCGUUCAGGUACGGCCUGAUGACCUGCAUGUCGAUCCGCUGCUCCUGAUCGCCGAUGAUCACCGUUCGCCACAGACGCCCCGACGAGUCUCUCUCCUCCUCGCUGUCGCCUGGAAGACGUUUGGCGGUGGCCACCGGAGUGUCAUCUGGAUUCAGGGUGAUGUAAGAAAGUCGUUGGUCAGUUUGUUUGGCGUCCUGUCUGCUAAAAACCUCGUUGCCGUUGUUAAUGAACUCCAGCGAGUCUGUCUCAUCGGGGGUCUCGAUGUCGUCUACGUUGAUGUCCAGGUCGUCGGGCGUUUCCAGAAAAUCAUCAGAGAGCACCGACCCCUCGCUCUGAUCCAGGGACAGGUUCAUGUCGGGGGCCACCAGGGUGCGACGCUUGUGCUGGGCCACGGUCUCUCCCACGUUCAGAGUGACGGGGGGAUCUGAAAUCAACAGAGCAG